AGAAGCCAGGAGGAGUUAGGAACAGACUAUAAGAAAUGGUUGGUCUGGAGGAAAAAGGGUAAAACUUAUGAGGGCCCUUGUGAAUUGAUGAAUAUGAAGACACUAAGAAAGCAGAAAUAGAACUGAGAAGAAUGAAAUAACUGUCUCUACCUUUCUCGAAUUGUCUAAUAUGGAAAGAAUGAAAGACAGCUAAUAAGCAACUCUCUGCAAGAAGACAUAUGGCUUAGAAUCUACUUGGAGAGAGUCAAACACAGAAUCCCUUUGAAUUUAAUGGCCAUUCCAGGUGAUUUGAACAGCCAAAUAAGAAACAGGUCCUCUUCAAUGUACAAUCUGCCAAGUAUGAAGUCUGAAUGACCAUCAUUAUUAUGUAUUUAAUGUGCAUAGAAAAUCUAUCUGCAACCUUCCAGAGUGUACCAGAAGUUUGGAAUGUACAUUAUUAUUGGCUCCAUCUCAAACCACUCAUAAAUCAAAGAAAAUAGCAGUUCCAGAGGAAUCAUCAUAGAGGCUUCUAGGCCCCCAUGCUGUGUGAACCUGGUGAGAAAGGGAAGUCUGCUCUCACUGGACACUGGAACUGUUUGUCUCUGUCUCUGCUGUACUUUCCCUGCCUCUACCUCACUUAGUAAAGAAAUCAUCUUUGCUUGAUAACUAAAACAACCAAUAAGGCUGAGAAAGGGGAAAACCCACAUCUGGAUUUAAAUACAAGGUAUUGGGCCAGCUGCUGGGGAUUAAACUUUGAACAAAACAGAUAGAAUCUAUGUCCUCAUGGGAGUGGCUAAUGGGAGAGUCGGAACAAAAAAAUAGCCAAGGAUAAUCCAGCAAAUGAUUUGGUGAAUGCUAUCAAAGAGAGAAAUACACAUGCUCUGGGAACACCAAACAG
rnacentral:lncRNA from 1 species